rnacentral:tRNA from 1 species
CGCGGAAUGGAGAAGGCUGGCCAUCUCGCCUGGCUCAUUACCAGGAGACCGUAGGUUCGAAUCCUACUUCCGCUA